AUGUUCUCUGGAAACUUUGAGGUGAGCUUCUUGGCUCAGUUACUCUGGCUUCUGGUGCUUUCCAUUCAAGAUUCCAGGGGGCAGAUUAUGAUAACUCAAUCUCCAGAGUCUGCGGUAGUGACCCCAGGAGACCAAGUCACUUUCAACUGCCGAACGGACUCUGAUGUGGGAACAUCCAUGGCAUGGUACCAGCAGAAAUCUGGACAAGCACCCAAGCUCCUCAUCUUUGGUGCUUCUGCUCUGGCUUCUGGGGCCCCUGCUCGAUUCCAAGGACGUGGCUCCAAAUUAGACUUCACCUUGACCAUCCGUGGAGUAAAAACUGAAGAUGCUGGAGUUUAUCAUUGUCAGCAGCACUAUAGCCGCCCUCCCACAGUGACACAGACUAGUCCAGAAACCUCCUUGUCAAGCUCAGAGCCUCUUGCUCUUAUGACAUGA